rnacentral:tRNA from 1 species
UCCCUGGUAGUCCAGUGGUUAAGCUCUGCAUUUCCAAUUCAGGGGGCACAGGUUUAAUCCCUGGCCAGGGAG